rnacentral:rRNA from 1 species
UGUAUCAAACAUAACAUUAAUGCAGUGGAUCCCAUUCGAACUCUACAUCAGGCUAGAGUAGUACUGGGAUGAGUGAUCGACCAAGAAGUCCUAGUGUUUUAUAUGG